AGGACGAACGCUGGCGGCGUGCUUAACACAUGCAAGUCGAGCGGUAAGGCCCUUUCGGGGGUACACGAGCGGCGAACGGGUGAGUAACACGUGGGUGACCUGCCCUUAGCUCUGGGAUAAGCCUGGGAAACUGGGUCUAAUACCGGAUAUGACCUCGCGAUGCAUGUCGUGGGGUGGAAAGCCUUGUGCGGCUAGGGAUGGGCCCGCGGCCUAUCAGCUUGUUGGUGGGGUGAUGGCCUACCAAGGCGACGACGGGUAGCCGGCCUGAGAGGGCGACCGGCCACACUGGGACUGAGACACGGCCCAGACUCCUACGGGAGGCAGCAGUGGGGAAUCUUGCGCAAUGGGCGAAAGCCUGACGCAGCGACGCCGCGUGAGGGAUGACGGCCUUCGGUUGUAACCUCUUUCAGCCCUGACGAAGCGAAGUGACGGUAGGGCAGAAGAAGCACCGGCCAACUACGUGCCAGCAGCCGCGGUAA
rnacentral:rRNA from 1 species